CACCCGCGGGGACACGCCGGAGCUUGUCCGCCAGCCUAGGGCUGGAGGAUGGAGCCCACCUUGGUACCCGCCCCGCCUUGCCCGCCUGGCACCCGGCGCGGGAGGGGCAGGCCCUGGUUUGGAGGGAGCUGCUGCAUAGCAGUGUGUACAGUACGAGUCCUCGCCCUCCUCAAGCUUACGUUCUUGUUGGAGAAGGAAAAUGUACCCACAAAAUAAUUAAAAAGCAAUGCUAAGCGCUA